rnacentral:rRNA from 1 species
UACGUAGGGUGCUAGCGUUGUCCGGAAUCAUUGGGCGUAAAGAGCGCGUAGGCGGCCAGAUAAGUCCGGUGUGAAAGUCACAGGCUCAACCUGUGAAUGCCGCUGGAAACUGUCUGGCUAGAGUCCGGAAGGGGCGAGUGGAAUUCCUGGUGUAGCGGUGAAAUGCGCAGAUAUCAGGAGGAACACCAAUGGCGAAGGCAGCUCGCUGGGACGGUACUGACGCUGAGGCGCGAAAGCGUGGGGAGCAAACAGG